rnacentral:tRNA from 1 species
GCCUGGGUGGCUCAGUCGGUGAAGCGCCAGACUUCGGCUCAGGUCAUGAUCUCAUGGUUGGUGGGUUCGAGUCCCACAUCGGGCU